AACGCAUCUUGUGCUCCUUGGUAUUCUGAGGAGCAUGCCUGUUUGAGUGUCAUCAAAUUCUCAACCUCAUUCAUUCAUUGAUUGGUUGGUUGGAUGUGGAGGUUUGCAGGACUACUUUUGUUAUCUGCUCCUCUGAAAUGUAUUAGUGGCAGAAAGAAAAAUCCACAGAUGUGAUAAAUUAUCUAUAUCUUGGAAUAUAAAAUAGCUUUGUGCUGCUUUACAAUUUUCUUGAUUAACAAAUCUUGACCUCAAAUCAGGUAGGACUACCUGCUGAACUUAA
rnacentral:misc_RNA from 1 species